CCAGCCGCCACAGUAAUUUGUCGUCAAGUCUGCCACAGGAGGAUAUUUUAUUCUGGGUUAACCUGCUUUUAUCCUUCGCAGGUUGUUUAUCCAUGUUUGUGUAAUUUUAAUUACUCCUAGAAUUUCCGCAUGUGUUAGCAGUAUUUAUUUGAAAUUGGUCUGUAAUAUUUUUAUCAUGUUGGACCUGUAAACUUAAAUAUGUUAUGCAUGUUGAUGGAUUGGAUGAGGGAGCUGAGCUCCCAUUUAUUUUAUGUUGAUGAGUAUGUGGAGGGUGAGCUGAGCUCCCCAAUUGAGUA